rnacentral:rRNA from 1 species
UACGUAGGGGGCAAGCGUUGUCCGGAAUUAUUGGGCGUAAAGAGCUCGUAGGCGGCUUGUCACGUCGGAUGUGAAAGCCCGGGGCUUAACCCCGGGUCUGCAUUCGAUACGGGCUAGCUAGAGUGUGGUAGGGGAGAUCGGAAUUCCUGGUGUAGCGGUGAAAUGCGCAGAUAUCAGGAGGAACACCGGUGGCGAAGGCGGCAUCCUGGACCGGUAUUGACGCUGAGGCGCGAAAGCCAGGGGAGCAAACGGG